rnacentral:rRNA from 1 species
UACGAAGGGGGGCUAGCGUUGUUCGGAAUUACUGGGCGUAAAGCGCACGUAGGCGGACUUUUAAGUCAGGGGUGAAAUCCCGGGGCUCAACCUCGGAACUGCCUUUGAUACUGGAAGUCUUGAGUAUGGAAGAGGUAAGUGGAAUUGCGAGUGUAGAGGUGAAAUUCGUAGAUAUUCGGAAGAACACCAGUGGCGAAGGCGACUAACUGGACAUGUAUUGACGCUGAGGUGCGAAAGCGUGGGGAGCAAACAGG